AGAGUUGAUCCUGGCUCAGGAUGAACGCUAGCUACAGGCUUAACACAUGCAAGUCGAGGGGCAGCAUGGGAUUAGCUUGCUAAUCCUGAUGGCGACCGGCGCACGGGUGAGUAACGCGUAUCCAACCUUCCCCUUACUCAGGGAUAGCCCGCUGAAAGGCGGAUUAACACCUGAUGGUUUCAUUAGAUGGCAUCUGACGAUGAAUAAAGGCUUACGGUAAGGGAUGGGGAUGCGUCUGAUUAGCUUGUUGGCGGGGUAACGGCCCACCAAGGCAACGAUCAGUAGGGGUUCUGAGAGGAAGGUCCCCCACAUUGGAACUGAGACACGGUCCAAACUCCUACGGGAGGCAGCAGUGAGGAAUAUUGGUCAAUGGGCGAGAGCCUGAACCAGCCAAGUAGCCGUGCAGGAUGACGGCCCUAUGGGUUGUAAACUGCUUUUGUACGGGAAUAAAGUGACCUACGUGUAGGUUUUUGCAUGUACCGUAAGAAUAAGGACCGGCUAAUUCCGUGCCAGCAGCGGC
rnacentral:rRNA from 1 species